rnacentral:rRNA from 1 species
UACGAAGGGGGCUAGCGUUGCUCGGAAUCACUGGGCGUAAAGGGUGCGUAGGCGGGUCUUUUAAGUCAGGGGGUGAAAUCCUGGAGCUCAACUCCAGAACUGCCUUUGAUACUGAAGAUCUUGAGUUCGGGAGAGGUGAGUGGAACUGCGAGUGUAGAGGUGAAAUUCGUAGAUAUUCGCAAGAACACCAGUGGCGAAGGCGGCUCACUGGCCCGAUACUGACGCUGAGGCACGAAAGCGUGGGGAGCAAACAGGG